rnacentral:rRNA from 1 species
AUACGGAGGAUCCGAGCGUUAUCCGGAUUUAUUGGGUUUAAAGGGAGCGUAGGCGGACGCUUAAGUCAGUUGUGAAAGUUUGCGGCUCAACCGUAAAAUUGCAGUUGAUACUGGGUGUCUUGAGUACAGUAGAGGCAGGGGGAAAUAGUGGGGGAGGGGGGAAAUGCUUAGAUAUCACGAAGAACUUCGAUUGCGAAGGCAGCCUGCUGGACUGUAACUGACGCUGAUGCUCGAAAGUGUGGGUAUCAAACAGGAUUAGAUACCCUGGUAGUCCACACAGUAAACGAUGAAUACUCGCUGUUUGCGAUAUACAGUAAGCGGCCAAGCGAAAGCGUUAAGUAUUCCACCUGGGGAGUACGCCGGCAACGGUGAAACUCAAAGGAAUUGACGGGG